GCUCAGAAGGCAGAUAUUUAUUUAGAGAAGAGACUGGACUUUUGAUGAAGGCAAGGACGAGUAUAAAACUUCACUUUGUCCAACUAAGCAUGAAGAAAAUUAAGUACAGAGAACAACACUAACGGGAAAAUUUAAAAGGCACAAGCAGAACUACAGAUCCUACCUCGACUGGUCUAAACAUUCCUAGAAAAGCAGCAAACUAGAGGUUAGAAUUGGAAGUGCUAACCACCUACCACAAACCACAGUCACCUUCUAACCUAAGUUAAAAGGAAAUGUUUUGAAGAUCAACAGUCAACCAAACACAGUGGGGAGAAAGAAGUAUCAAGUUUGUUAAAGGUACAAGAAACAAGUGGAAGGCUCGUGACCUAUCACAGCAUCUCAUCUCCAGGAGCUAGAGGAAACCCUACUAAGUUAGCAGAAAUAGUUACGAAGGCACGUAUCCUAUCAGAUAAUUAACACUUUCUUUUUAAGUAGAUCAGAAGCACAUACUACAGUGUCCUCAGGAAACAAGACCAGAGGUUGAGACUUAAGUCUGGUCAUUAUUUUUUUUUUAAACAAAGUGGCAACGAUGGCUAUGUCCCUAGUCUCAAAAUGAGGAAGAUACCACUUACAUGAAAAGUAGAUAAUAUAGACAUACUGAAAAUAUACGGAAGUUAUACUUCGUCAAAUUUCAUAUGCUAAAACAAGUGCGCAGUACAAAACCAGGAAUAUGACACAGAAUUUUUCAGUGUUGUCUCAGAAACACGGUGACGAGAAAGCCCACCUACCUGCACAGCACACCUGCAGCUGCCUUCGGGAGGCACCAUGCUCCGCUCCGGCCACCCUGCUCUGCUCACAGCGAGCUCAAGGAAGGGUCUCACCCUCUGUCUUGCCUCAAUGUCCGUUUUUGCUAACUAUGAGCAACCCUACGUGAUAUUACAGACAGAACUGACACACUCAACGGGCCUUAAAUGGACACAGGACUAAAGACGUAACACGCUGCUCUCCAGCACAUGGGCACAAGAAACCAAGCAAGUGGACAACGAGAGAAAUACCCCACAUGGCAGCAACUAGAUCCACUCUCUGCUCAUGCAUCUUAAAAGUUAAUUGUACUCUGCUAAGGAACUGAAAGAGCUGCUCC